UUCUUCCUAUAAUAUCAAACUGGAACCUUGUUCCACCUGAUAAAAUUGAGCUAUCGUCUCGUGGUUCAAAUUUACGAAGAUGUUCAAGCAAUCGAUCCUGUGAUUUUUGCCUAGGGAGAAGUUGUUAAAUCGUCUUACAUUAUUUUAUUAAUACUCUUGACUCGACAUUCGUAUAACAUUAGCUUUGCAAUUUAAUAGCUCUGUAUGACCCAGUAUACUUCUGGAAACUCGUUGAUAUUGGUUCCUAUCAAUUGAGUUUACGUUGACGCGAGCGUUGACGACAACUGCAAGUACCUAGCUAAACGUGGAUAAUUAUUGCGACGAUAGCGUGGCAUAACACGUGGAAACUCAACAGGAAUAUACGUAUAUCAUUUGGACAGGUGGAAGAGCUUUAGUUAGCUGAAGACACGAGACUGUGGUGGCCACGCCAAAGCGGUUGCUGCGGCCCUCUUAAACAAAGAUGAUGAUCGUAAACGGCUAUUUUUAAGGAUCGGCACCGAAGAUCAAGUAUCGGUAUCGCUUUUUAGCAGUAGAAAUAAAUCUUGUCCGGUCAACCUUGGCGCCUUGUGGUUCGCAACCGAGUAUACGUGGUGCUACUUAUUGGCGUGCUUUUGCUAGGGGUUGAUUUUUUACGAAAAAGAAACUUGAAGCUAUGAUUGAUGACUUUGUGCCACAUUUUCAAGUAGGCCGCGAUAAGCCCCAGCGAGGACACGAAGCUCCUGAUCAGUUGGUGUGAACGAAGCAAUUGUGCGAAGUCUGGCUUUAGCACGUUCCAGGUCCUAUGGCGUUAUAAUAUCAUGGUAAAAUACAUGCUCACGUAAUAAACUCAGAAUGAUAAUUUA